rnacentral:lncRNA from 1 species
CCACCCAAGGCUAGUUCAGAUGUUUGGGAGAUGCAUGUGGAUGGGUCAUCCAACUCUAUGGGAUCGAGAGCAGGACUGAUCCUCUCGGGCCCAAAUGGGACCGUCGCCGAAUACGUCCUUCGUUUUGGAUUUUCGAUAAGAAUAAUGAAAUAGAAUAUGAAGCUUUAGCUGUCAGCCUCAGAAUCACCAAGGAGCUGGAGA